rnacentral:tRNA from 4 species
GGAGAGGUCGCAUAGCGGUCUAGUGCGCAUCUUUGCUAAAGAUGUGACCUCGCAAGGGGUCCGAGGGUUCGAAUCCCUCCCUCUCCGCCA